GUAGUGGUAGCUCAGUGGUUGAGAUGUUAGACUACUGCUCAGAAGGUUGUGAGUUCAAAUCCCAGCUCUGCAACU